rnacentral:lncRNA from 1 species
GCCUCAUUGAAGAAUUAAGGGGCAUCAGCAAGAUAUCAUAGCACUUUGUCCAUUCUGGAUGCGCUCUGUACCGCGGAGAGGUGAUCUACAAGCACUUAAGAGAAGAGAGCAGCUUCGGAUCCAACGGCAAAAUAGGAUUUAUGAUGUAGCGAGCACAAAUUCCCUGUCAGACCUUUUGACUAAAUCAACAUUAAUUGAAUCAUUGGGUAUUACUUUGGAGACUGGUCCUUUACCAGGCUUGCAUAUAAGGGCCUGUUCUCAUGCCAUUGGGAAAUGGCAAUUAUCUAACAUAAUGAAGGCUACCAUACAUCGUUAAGCUAUUCUACACCUGACCCUCAUUUGAUUAUGUUAUCAUGGGAGAGUUUUCUAUUAAUGUGUUCCUCAUAAGGGACUUUAUUCUGACACUAGUUGCUCACAAUAGAGAUUAAUUGUGUAUUUUCCCAGGACUAUUCUGAGCAAAGAGCAUUUAGAUGGAGAUUCUUUCAGACCACCAUGUCAUUAAUCUUCAUUUACUUUAGAGGAUUUGGACGGAAAUAAAAUAAAGAUUCAUCCAGCAUUAGGAUAAACAGAGUAGGGUUGUUGUGGAUAUUUCUCUUGUAAGGAAAUCAAACCCAAAUGCAUACAGGGUUGGAUUCUGCCUCUUAGCUAAACACUAUACGCAAAAGUAUAAUAUCUUUCUCCAACACAAACAUACAUGCGCAAGCACACACAGACAGACACACAGACACACAGACACACACACAGACACAGACACACACACACAGACACACACACACACAGACACACACACACAGACACAAACACACACACACACACAGACACACACACACACACAGUCAUGAAGAAGUAAAAUAUUUAAAUAGUGACAUUUUGACAGUCAGAUGUCAGGCCAUUAAUGCAUACUGUGGGUUGAUGGGAAAACAAACACAAAAACACACAACGCACAUACCAAUGCAUAAACACAUGCCUAUUCACAUGGCAACAUCAACAUUCCAAUCACAUGGGUAUGGGUUAGAGGUGAGGUUGCUAUGCGCCAGUGUCAUUCCAUAGCUGUUCUUCAAAGAAACAAGUUGACUAGUAAUGGGUCUGAAUGUGCAGCAGAGUCUGUUUACUACUGAUUGUAGUUGCGGUGGACAUGGGUUGUGUGGGGGAACGAAUGGAUCUCCCCUCCGCUCCAUUGUAUCAAAGCCAGCCUAAACCACUUCAAGUCCACUCCUCUCUUUACUGUCACUGCACCCUGCUCGAGCUACACUAGGCCUGCCCACUGCACCCUGCUCGAGCUACACUAGGCCUGCCCACUGCACCCUGCUCGAGUUACACUAGGCCUGCCCACUGCACCCUGCUCGAGCUACCCUAGGCCUGCCCACUGCACCCUGCUCGAGUUACACUAGGCCUGCCCACUGCACCCUGCUCGAGCUACACUAGGCCUGCCCACUGCACCCUGCUCGAGUUACACUAGGCCUGCCCACUGCACCCUGCUCGAGCUACACUAGGCCUGCCCACUGCACCCUGCUCGAGCUACACUAGGC